GACGAACGCUGGCGGCGUGCUUAACACAUGCAAGUCGAACGGAAAGGCCCUGCUUUUGUGGGGUGCUCGAGUGGCGAACGGGUGAGUAACACGUGAGUAACCUGCCCUUGACUUUGGGAUAACUUCAGGAAACUGGGGCUAAUACCGGAUAUGAGCUCCUGCUGCAUGGUGGGGGUUGGAAAGUUUCGGCGGUUGGGGAUGGACUCGCGGCUUAUCAGCUUGUUGGUGGGGUAGUGGCUUACCAAGGCUUUGACGGGUAGCCGGCCUGAGAGGGUGACCGGCCACAUUGGGACUGAGAUACGGCCCAGACUCCUACGGGAGGCAGCAGUGGGGAAUAUUGCACAAUGGGCGGAAGCCUGAUGCAGCAACGCCGCGUGCGGGAUGACGGCCUUCGGGUUGUAAACCGCUUUCGCCUGUGACGAAGCGUGAGUGACGGUAAUGGGUAAAGAAGCACGGGCUAAUUACGUG
rnacentral:rRNA from 1 species